GGGCCGGGUCAAGCCGGGUUACCCGUUUUGACAGCUCUAUUUUAUAGAACCCGUAUGGGUUUAUAGACCCCUUCUGAGUUUGGGUGUUGCUCCCUACACCUCCCCAAGUGGGACCUGUACCUCCCCAUUAAUUUAAUUUAUUUCAAAAAUAUUUUAUACCUCCCCACUACUUUCUUUUAUUCGAAAAAUACUCUAAACCUCCC
rnacentral:lncRNA from 1 species